rnacentral:rRNA from 1 species
UACAGAGGGGGGCAAGCGUUUAUUCGGAAUUAUUGGGCGUAAAGGGCGCGUAGGCGGCUUGGCAAGUGGAUGGUGAAAUCCCUCGGCUUAACCGAGGAACUGCCGUCCAAAACUGCUUCGCUUGAGACCGGGAGAGGUGAGUGGAAUUCCCAGUGUAGCGGUGAAAUGCGUAGAUAUUGGGAGGAACACCAGUGGCGAAGGCGGCUCACUGGACCGGUACUGACGCUGAUGCGCGAAAGCGUGGGGAGCAAACGGG